CACAUGCAGUCGAGCGGAUGAGAGGAGCUUGCUCCUUGAUUUAGCGGCGGACGGGUGAGUAAUGCCUAGGAAUCUGCCUGGUGGUGGGGGAUAACGUUCCGAAAGGAACGCUAAUACCGCAUACGUCCUACGGGAGAAAGCGGGGGAUCUUCGGACCUCGCGCCAUUAGAUGAGCCUAGGUCGGAUUAGCUAGUUGGUGAGGUAAUGGCUCACCAAGGCGACGAUCCGUAACUGGUCUGAGAGGAUGAUCAGUCACACUGGAACUGAGACACGGUCCAGACUCCUACGGGAGGCAGCAGUGGGGAAUAUUGGACAAUGGGCGAAAGCCUGAUCCAGCCAUGCCGCGUGUGUGAAGAAGGUCUUCGGAUUGUAAAGCACUUUAAGUUGGGAGGAAGGGUAUUCACCUAAUACGUGAGUAUUUUGACGUUACCGACAGAAUAAGCACCGGCUAACUUCGUGCCAGCAGCCGCGGUAAUACGAAGGGUGCAAGCGUUAAUCGGAAUUACUGGGCGUAAAGCGCGCGUAGGUGGUUCGUUAAGUUGGAUGUGAAAGCCCCGGGCUCAACCUGGGAACUGCAU
rnacentral:rRNA from 1 species